AACUGGAUUCUCCUGAGAUCCUUCUGCUUAUGACAUGAGACAAGUGGACUGAUUUGUCAAAGGUCACUGCACCAUACACUUAAGUUGAAGACUCAGUGAAGAUUAACCAAGCCUCUUACAGCUAAAAUGACAUUUUAAAAGAAAGAAAGAAAGAAAAAAGAUUCAUGGAUUCAUAGUUACCGCAGAGUUGGAAAACGCCCCCAGAGAGCCCAGGACAUGAGCUAGCUUUGCUCAGGAACUCAUCAGAGGCCAUGGGGCCAGCUUAUUGGCAGAACCAGAGCUUUUAAAAUUUAGUUUUUAUUCCUUUUCUUAAUCUCUUGGAUUACAGCACAUAUUACCUUUUAUCUGAAUAAAAACUUU